UUACGGCCACAUCGCGUUGAAACACUGGUUCCCGUAGGAUCACCGAACUUAAGCAAUGUCAAGCCUCGUCAGUACUCAGAUGGGUGAUCACUUGGGAAUACCAUGUGCUA